rnacentral:lncRNA from 10 species
UUCUAGCGCAUAUAGGGAGGCAAAAGAAAAAGCCCGCCUGUGAAGCUGUCAAGGUCCUCACAGUACAAUUUUCUCUCUGCCUCAGCGCCUCCUCCUCCCCUUUCUGGAGGCUGGGAAGUUCAAGACCAAUGCACGAGAAUUUGGUCUAAAGAGAAUCUUCUUGCUCUGAACACACAUAGUAGAAGGCAGAAGGGCAAGAGAGAGAACAAAGUCUGUGUCUCCACAUGGCAGAAGAGCAGAGGAGACAGAACCUACUCCU